rnacentral:rRNA from 1 species
GGUUCAGGAUGAACGCUGGCGGCGUGCUUAACACAUGCAAGUCGAACGAAGCUCUUUGAAGGGAGGAUUCGUCUGAACGGAUGAGAUGACUUAGUGGCGGACGGGUGAGUAACGCGUGGGUAACCUGCCGUAUGCAGGGGGACAACAGUUGGAAACGACUGCUAAUACCGCAUAAGCGCACGGUUCUGCAUGGAACAGUGUGAAAAGAUUUAUCGGCAUACGAUGGACCCGCGUCUGAUUAGCUAGUUGGUGAGGUAACGGCCCACCAAGGCGACGAUCAGUAGCCGGCCUGAGAGGGUGAACGGCCACAUUGGGACUGAGACACGGCCCAAACUCCUACGGGAGGCAGCAGUGGGGAAUAUUGCACAAUGGGGGAAACCCUGAUGCCAGCGACGCCGCGUGAGUGAAGAAGUAUUUCGGUAUGUAAAGCUCUAUCAGCAGGGAAGAAAAUGACGGUACCUGACUAAGAAGCCCCGGCUAACUACGUGCCAGCCGCCGC